rnacentral:rRNA from 1 species
GAUGAACGCUGGCGGCGUGCUUAACACAUGCAAGUCGAACGAAGCUGUUGUUUGGAGACCUUCGGGUGGAAGAAUGACAGACUGAGUGGCGGACGGGUGAGUAACGCGUGGGUAACCUACCUUGCACAGGGGGACAACAGUUGGAAACGACUGCUAAUACCGCAUAAGACCACAGUACCGCAUGGUACGGGGGUAAAAACUGAGGUGGUGCAAGAUGGACCCGCGUCUGAUUAGCUAGUUGGUGGGGUAAAGGCCUACCAAGGCGACGAUCAGUAGCCGACCUGAGAGGGUGAUCGGCCACAUUGGGACUGAGACACGGCCCAAACUCCUACGGGAGGCAGCAGUGGGGAAUAUCGGACAAUGGGGGGAACCCUGAUCCAGCGACGCCGCGUGAGUGAAGAAGUAUUUCGGUAUGUAAAGCUCUAUCAGCAGGGAAGAAAAUGACGUACCUGACUAGGAAGCCCCGCA